rnacentral:tRNA from 1 species
GGGGGUGAGGACUGUGGCUCAGCAGUAGAGCAUAUGCUUUGCAUGCACAAGGUCCCAGGUUCAAUCCCUGGCAUCUCCA